CUUUAGUCUCCUGAGCAGGAGGCAGGAACAUCAUUCAGAGCUGAUGACAGUGUCCUUCCAAACAGGAAUCACUGGGGAUCCAGUCUGCUUAGGGAGACCCUCCCCAGCCCUGGCUCCCCAUUCCUGCUAGCACUACCCCUUGUUGGGUACAUAUUCCCAGAAGGGGCUGGCACCAUUGAAGGCCUGCGCCUUUCUGUGACCCUUUGCCAGUCUGAGAAGCUUUGGUGUAUCAAUGUUAUUCAUUUAGUAAAUGUUUGGUGUCUCUGGUGCCAGUCCCACUAAAGGACAGAGUCCUUGCACUGCCCUGUGCAGGUGAUCUGUGCUGAGACAGAAGUUGUGAAAUGGGCUACAUUCGCUGCUGCUGAAGCUACCAGCACUCCCGGGAUCCCAGGCCAGCACUUGCUGGUCCAAUCCAGGAGUCACUUUGGAGGUUCCCAAGAUGAGGGGGUGAAGGGUAGUGAGAGAAAUGCCAAUGAUAGGCACUAUCUUCACUCCCUGGUCACCCAACACCUCUAACAGCAGCCAACCUGUCUCAAUCUGUGAUGAGCCCAUUUGACUCUUGAUCUGUCCAGAAAGACUUCCUGUUCAGAACAAUAUUCUCAUAUAGCCCAGGCUGACUUCAAACUUGCUAUAUGGGCAAGGCUGUGGUUUUGAACUCUCAACCCUCUGACCUUCCAAGUGCAAAAACUGGCCACCGUACUCAGCCCACUCUACACAGCUACCCAGCUCUCCCAUCCUGGCAAGUGAGCCUAGGCCCUCACCACUCUGGGAAGACAUAUCGUCACUGAACUACAUGACCCCUUUUAGUGGUCAUGGUAUAUGGUGAGGUUUUCUCUGGAAGGGAGGCUGAAUAACAGCAUCUACACAUAACAAAAACAUUGGCAACUGGGGCUGGAGAGAUGGCUCAGCGGUUUAAGACCACUAGCUGCUCUUCCAGAGGUCCUGAGUUCAAUUCCCAGAAACCAUAUGGUGGCUCACAACCAUCUGUAAAGGAAUCUGAUUCCAUCUUCUGGUGUGUCUGAAGACAGAGCGCUCAUGUACCUAAGAUAAGGAAGAAAGGAAGGGAGGGAAGGAGGGAGGGAGACAAGGAAGGAGCUAACAACUCCAUGUUGGCCUCUGUCAUUUCUUCUGAAGCAUCAGAGGGGUCUUCAUCCUCAGCUUGGGGAUAUGAGCCUGUCUGCAUCUCACUCAGGCUGACACCUCAGUUGUUUUUGGAUUUAGGGUUGGGAGGCUGGCUAAACAUGUGGCAUCUGGAAAGACAAAUCCCCAAACCUGGGGGACCAGGGUGAGGUGAAAGGGGGAACCCCUUGGAAAGCAAAAAAAAAACUUUGGGGU
rnacentral:lncRNA from 1 species